rnacentral:lncRNA from 1 species
CGGGCUGGCUGCGGAGCGCGCCGCUUGGAGCGUGGCCGCGCUCGGCGCCUUCGCUCUAAUGAUUUUAAUUGCGUGGUUUUUGCUUUGAGUGAACUAAAGCGAGUGCGAUUACUUCUUUUUUUUUUUCUUUCUUUCUUUCUUUCUUUCUUUUUUUUUUUCCCUGGUUUCACCAAAAGGCUGUCAGCAUCAGUUGUUCAGACGUAACGUACCUACCAAAGUCUCCUGAGAACGUUUUUUCUGAGCGAUUCCAGCUUCCAGACACAUUUGCCAUGAUAAGGGUUUCGAUCCUUUCCCGUGCUUGCUCUGAGCCAUGAGUGGAUAUGUGUGAUGCCUGCAAGUAAAACUGGUAUUCUGCUGUGUGAUAAACUCCAGGAAGAAGUGAAGAAAAACUUAGAAAGAAAAGACUUUUUGUUUAAUAUAAAGCCCAGACUUUG